CCUACGGGGGGCAGCAGUGGGGAAUAUUGCACAAUGAGGGAAACCCUGAUGCAGCAACGCAGCGUGCGUGAAGAAGUAUUUCGGUAUGUAAAGCUCUAUCAUCAGGGAAGAAGAAAGACGGUACCUGACUAAGAAGCCCCGGCUAAAUACGUGCCAGAAGCCGCGGUAAUACGUAGGCGGCAAGCGUUAUCCGGAUUUACUGGGUGUAAAGGGAGCGUAGGCGGCUGUGCAAGUCUGGAGGGAAAGCCCGUGGCUCAACCGCGGAACUGCUUUGGAGACUGUAUAGCUUGAGUACUGGAGAGGCAGGCGGAAUUCCUAGUGUAGCGGUGAAAUGCGUAGAUAUAAGGAGGAACACCAGUGGCGAAGGCGGCCUGCUGGACAGAAACUGACGUUGAGGCUCGAAAGCGUGGGGAGCAAACAGGAUUAGAUACCCGAGUAGUC
rnacentral:rRNA from 1 species